GGCGAAUUGCCGGUGGCCACGGACCCGCUGCUGCCACCAUCGUUGGCCACAUUGGCGGAGGACGCGUUCAACGUGGUCGUGGAGGCCGACAACGUAGCACCGACCACCGGUGUCUGACAGAGCUCCUCGAUGCAAGCCAAGAUGGUCUUCUGGUGGAAGUCAUCCUUGAUGCCCAUAUUCUACGAACAAGAAAACCAAGACAUUGGUUAGCGCGGAAUCUAAAUGUAUAAAUCUGAAAUCAUCACCUACAUUGCAUCGUUAAAAUCAACGCCUCGUAAAGUUGUUAAGCUGUUCCAAGAGGUCUUUUCGUUAUUUCGAUGGCUAUGAUUUGAAACGUAGGGACGAUCUAAUUUAAUUUUUCAAGUUAAGAAACAAGGAAGGGAAGAAUGAUACGUAAUAUCGAAUAAAGAGCAAAGAUGAUCGGCGAGUCAACAGGUGUCAGACGCACGACGAUGUAUAACUGUAUGCAACUCGAUAAAGGAUCUUUCGUGUAUCGCAAAGAAUCCAACAUUGUUCAAUUUUCAGAUUGUAACAACUUUCCUCAACUCGAAUCGAGUAAUGCAACUCGAAACGAAAACCCAAAGAGAUGGGUUUACUCGAUCUCCGAUACGUUUUAUUUAUCCUCGUGCGACUUACGUAAUAUCCGCGACGAACGACACGUUCCAACGUAAUGACGACGAUAAAAAAUUUUAACGAAGUGUUGACGAAGUGCGGCAAAAGGAAACGCUAUUCGUCUCGCGGCGAGAGAUCGAGAAACAUCGUGCGUGGCUGAACGAGGCGCCAUUUCCGGCAACGGGUGACUGGCACGCAUUUUUCCUUCCAAAUUAUAUAGUAUACGCUCGCGCGGGCUAUUUUAAAAUGUGCCGACGAGAAGAACGUGUUUCCCCGGCGCCACGAGUCGCACUGGGCCAAACGAUAUUCUUAGCACCGUACGCGUGCCAGUAGCGGGGAAGAAGGAUCGAUGUGCACGCGUGUUAUACACGAAACGCUGUGAUUAUUACGAGGUCCACGGGUUCGUGCGACCGUCAAAUCUGACGCGUAAUUAUUUUGUUUUGCGUCCAGCCACCGUGCCAGGUUAUCUCCCGGGAUAUGCGCACGAAGGAUGAAUCGACGACAGACGGAGACGAGAAAUAAUUUACGAAUGUCUCGGCACUGGGGCAAAAAAGCGGAUAUAUCGUGAGAUGAGAGAGAGAGAGAGAGA